GAGUGGCGAACGGGUGAGUAACACGUGGGGAACCUGCCCAUAAGAGGGGGAUAACAUCCGGAAACGGGUGCUAAUACCGCAUAGGUGAUCAUAGCGCAUGCUUAGAUCAUUAAAGAUGGCUUCGGCUAUCGCUUAUGGAUGGCCCCGCGGCGUAUUAGCUAGUUGGUGAGGUAAUGGCUCACCAAGGCUGUGAUACGUAGCCGACCUGAGAGGGUGAUCGGCCACACUGGAACUGAGACACGGUCCAGACUCCUACGGGAGGCAGCAGUAGGGAAUCUUCCACAAUGGGCGAAAGCCUGAUGGAGCAAUACCGCGUGAGUGAAGAAGGUCUUCGGAUCGUAAAGCUCUGUUGUUAGAGAAGAACAAGAGGUGUAGUAACUGGCACCUCCUUGACGGUAUCUAACCAGAAAGUCACGGCUAACUACGUGCCAGCAGCCGCGGUAAUACGUAGGUGACAAGCGUUGUCCGGAUUUAUUGGGCGUAAAGCGAGCGCAGGCGGUCUUUUAAGUCUGAUGUGAAAGCCCACGGCUCAACC
rnacentral:rRNA from 1 species